rnacentral:rRNA from 1 species
UACGUAGGGUGCAAGCGUUGUCCGGAAUUAUUGGGCGUAAAGAGCUCGUAGGCGGUUUGUCGCGUCGGCCGUGAAAUCUCCACGCUUAACGUGGAGCGUGCGGUCGAUACGGGCAGACUUGAGUUCGGUAGGGGAGACUGGAAUUCCCGGGUGUAGCGGGUGAAAUGCGCAGAUAUCAGGAGGAACACCGGUGGCGAAGGCGGGUCUCUGGGCCGAUACUGACGUGGAGGAGCGAAAAGCGUGGGGGAGCAACGG